rnacentral:rRNA from 1 species
UACGUAGGGUGCAAGCGUUGUCCGGAAUUAUUGGGCGUAAAGAGCUCGUAGGCGGUCUGUCGCGUCGGCUGUGAAAACCCGGAGCUCAACUCCGGGCCUGCAGUCGAUACGGGCAGACUGGAGUUCGGCAGGGGAGACUGGAAUUCCUGGUGUAGCGGUGAAAUGCGCAGAUAUCAGGAGGAACACCGGUGGCGAAGGCGGGUCUCUGGGCCGAUACUGACGCUGAGGCACGAAAGCGUGGGGAGCAAACAGG